UUCCUUUCAGCCGCCACCGAAUCAUUCGAAGAACCGCCGGCAACCUUUGAACACAACAGAUAGAGGCCAUAAUAUAGAAGAACGAGUACGUAUAGGGCAACAGAAGCUGCCCCGGUCACUGGCUGGCAGGGUUGGCGGCUGCCGUUUACCUCGCUCUGAAGGGAAUUCGCAACAAAUGAACGAGAUCUCCCAGCGCCGAAAUUGAACCGGGAAACCUGAAAACCGCGUCAAUUGAAGAACACUGUCAGCAGAUUUCACUUCACAGUCCAAAUCCAAAAAGCAGCCCGCCGCGGAAGAAAAGAAGUUACGUCCUGAGAUCCGUCCAGUAUUUUGAAAACAGUACCACAAAGUGUGAGACAGUGAGCAAAUAGGUGAGUCAGAAAGAGAGAGAGAGACAGAGACAGAGACAGAGACAGAGAGAGAGGAGCAGCGUCUAACCGUGGAAGAUAACAGGCGAAGCUUAGGCUUGGGGACGACGCGGAAGUUGAUGGCCCUGGACUGAGAUCCCCCCUGCCGUGUGCAGGACGAAGAGCUGGAGCUGGCCACGACAGAAGCUCCUGGUGCGGUGGCCGCCGGAACCGUAGUAGAUGNNNNN
rnacentral:lncRNA from 1 species